CACGUAGGGGACGAGCGUUGUCCGGAUUCAUUGGGCGUAAAGCGCGCGUAGGCGGCGCGGUAAGUCGGGUGUGAAAUCUUGGAGCUUAACUCCGAAACUGCAUUCGAUACUGCCGUGCUUGAGGACUGGAGAGGAGACUGGAAUUUACGGUGUAGCGGUGAAAUGCGUAGAUAUCGUAAGGAAGACCAGUGGCGAAGGCGGGUCUCUGGACAGUUCCUGACGCUGAGGCACGAAGGCCAGGGGAGCAAACGGG
rnacentral:rRNA from 1 species